AUGCCAAACUCCGUAUUUUUUUGGGCCAUAACAUUUUCAAAUAUUGCGGCGCCAUUAUUUGCUGAGCUACCAUUGGUUCAUUUGAGCGCUAACGCGGCAGAAUAAAUUCGGUUCACUAAAGAAUCUAAGUUGCUAGCAGAAUUUGUUUCAGUGUCUUGACACAAUAAAACCACUUGCAUGAUUUAAAAAGAGUAACUUGUGAUUUCAUUCUAUGGGCUUUUAAUAAUCUUUCUCCCAGUCAGUUAAACCAGCAUGCAUGGGUGGGUCUCAUGCAUGCUAGCUUGGCUGGAACCCACCCAUGCAAGGGUGCUUUUUUUAAUUAUUAUUAUUAUUUUUUUUAAAAAUGAAACUGCAUUGAAUCGUUUUGUUUUGGGCGAGAUUGGUAAUAAUUGGGCAUGGGUUUUAUCUGGGCUAACUGCAUGAGCCCCAUAUGGUUAACCUAAAAUGGGAGCCAUAUUGUUGACCCAUUUGGGCUAAAUGUAUGGGUCCUUUUCAGCAUUGAUGUGGGCUAACUGGGAAUGGGAUAGAAAUGGGCAACACUAUAUGGGGCACAUGUGGUUUCAGUAUAUUUGGCAUAAAAGCCUUUUUUGUAAAUAGGAUGAAGGUAUAGUAAAUAUUUUUAAAUCCUUUUUUUUAUUUUGAAAGUGACACUUUAAAGCGUUUUGUUCUGCCAGAGUUUGUUUCAAUCUGCACAGUUUUGUGUUCUUCAGUGGCCACGCCUGAAUCAAAGAUUGAAAGAUGAAGAAUUCUUUUUGUUGUUUUUGCAAUAUUUUAAGUGUAGCUCUUGUUCUUUAAUACGUGCAAUAUUUUAGGAGUGAUUUCUUAGUGAUUUUCUAAACUGCUCUUAGGAUUAAUACUACUGUCUUGUCACAGUACUAUACACAGUAAAUGAGGAUAAUUGCAUUAGUGAAACUGUUCAGUGUUUACAAUAUAUGGCUACAGUGAGUACUCUAUACCAAGGGUCUCAAACUCCAGUCCUCGAGAUCCGGUAAACUGCAGUUGUUGGAUGUGCCACAGGUAAAAAACACUGGAAUGAAAUGGCUUAAUUACCUUCUCCUUGUGUAGAUCAGUUCUCCUGAGCCUUAAUGACCUAAUUAUUGUAUUCAGGUGUGGUGCAGCAGAGGAACAGCUAAAAGUUGCAGGACACCUGCCCUUGCGGACUGGGGUUUGACACCCCUGCUCUAUACAUAGGCUGUUUUGCCUUAAUAUUAUUUUUUGGAGAAGCCCAAAUGUUAUAUUAACUGCAUUAUGAAAAUAUAUUUCUUUGCAGACUUGAAGAGCACGAAACUGUGAAGAUCACCCAUCAACGAUUUGAAAAAGCAGUAAAGCAACAACUACAGCCAGAUGCUUCAUGGAACAUUUACUUGUAUGAAAAUUUUGAAAACGUGAGCUUUAGAUUUACAAAUGUGUUAAUCCUUUUUUUUUAAAAAUUCUUUUCUAAAGACUGCUAUGGAGAAGCACGACGAAAGCUUGCAAGGGCAGAAGCAACAUCAGAUCUUCAAACAGAUAAUGAUAUCCCAGAAAAGCGACGUAGAAGAUCCUCCCACAAAUGGGGCACAUUUUCUUCAAGUGAAGACAGUGUGGACUCCUCAGAGAAUGAAGUUCCACCUUCUCCUCCCUUGGAACUUACCACAGUUGGAUCUGCCUCAAAAGUGUGUAGUCUCAGUGUGUCCAGAAAGAGAAGCCCCAGCACAACUCCAAAUCUGAGAAGCGCAACUGCAAGUCUUUCUAUGAGUCCUGGGACUUCUUUGAGCAGGAGCAGCUCCAGCUUGGGAGAGGCUAUGUUUACUAGGCUGGUUACACUUCUUGAGGAGGUUAGAGAAACACAAAAACUACACGGACAGUUGUUGAGUACCUUGCUGAGACAGAAAUCUGCUUCACCACCGGUUGAACCACCUGAAGGAGCUGUUUUUCCAAUGUGCACAAUCAAUGAUGUCCUGGGCAUGAAUGAGAAGCUGGGUGACUCAGACUUCAUGUCUGGAGUUGUUGCCAUGGUUGCAGAAAUUAGAGGAGCAUCCUUGGAUGACGCGAUACGAUGGGCUAUGCGAUUCCUGAUGUCCCAUGAAUUAGCAGUCCAGUUCAACCUGUUUGGCCGACAUGGGAAACACCAGUUCCGGGACCUGCGUCUCUUUGAUGUUGUGUAUGGGGCACUUAAAAGAAAUGGUUCCAUCGUUGGACUCACACAUAAAGAUGUGGAAAAGGCACUCUCAAAGUGGUUCACUGGAGCCCGUGACAGGGGUGGGAAUAGGAGAGUUAGAGCAAGUAGGGAGGCUGCCAAUUCUCACUCUGGUGGGCAGGUCUUCCAAGAAGGACAGUUACAAUAAUAUGCGAGCUUUCAAGUGUAAGCAUGCAUGUAGGUUAUACUAAAAGGUUUUGUGAAAGGUGUGUGUAUGUACCAGUAAACAAGUUUGUUGUUCAAAAAUGCCAUCUGAACAAUUUUGUAGAUUUUAAAAUUUUGUUGUUAUUGUUUAAGAGCGCCAUUUGUGCUUGUGGCACCGUUUGCUUUGUUAAUUAAGUUCUAAUAAUUGCUGAGGUAUAAAAUAACUUCUGAUUACAAAAUAAAAAGCCUUGACCAAA